CAGCCGUAAACAAUGUGCGUUAGGUGUGUCGGUAACCACGCGUUACUGAUGCGCCGAAGAGAAAUCGUGAAACGCACCACCUGGGAAGUACGGUCGCAAGGCUGAAACUUAAAGGAAUUGGCGGGGGAGCACCACAACAGGCGGAGCCUGCGGUUUAAUUGGAUUCAACGCCGGACAUCUCACCGGAUAAGACAGCUGAAUGAUUGUCAAUCUGAAGGUUUUACAUGACUAGCUGAGAGGUGGUGCAUGGCGUCAGUGACU
rnacentral:rRNA from 1 species